rnacentral:rRNA from 1 species
AGAGCGAACGCUGGCGGCAGGCCUAACACAUGCAAGUCGAGCGCCCGUAGCAAUACGGGAGCGGCAGACGGGAUAGUAACACGUGGGAACGCGCCCUUCGGUUCGGAAUAACUCAGGGAAACUUGAGCUAAUACCGAAUACGCCCUUACGGGGAAAGAUUUAUUGCCGAAGGAACGGCCCGCGUCCGAUUAGCUAGUUGGUGAGGUAAUGGCUCACCAAGGCUACGAUCGGUAGCUGGUCUGAGAGGAUGACCAGCAUCACUGGGACUGAGACACGGCCCAGACUCCUACGGGAGGCAGCAGUGGGGAAUAUUGGACAAUGGGCGCAAGCCUGAUCCAGCCAUGCCGCGUGGAUGAUGAAGGCCUUAGGGGUUGUAAAGUCCUUUUAAACGGGGAAGAUAAUGAACGGUACCCGUAGAAUAAGCCCCGGCUAACUUCGUGCCAGCAGCCGC